rnacentral:rRNA from 1 species
CGAGUAGGUGGCCAUCUAAGUCAGACGUGAAACUCCCCCGGCUUAACCUGGGAACUGCGUCUGAUACUGGACGGCUUGAGUAUGGGAGAGGGAUGUAGAAUUCCAGGUGUAGCGGUGAAAUGCGUAGAUAUCUGGAGGAAUACCGGUGGCGAAGGCGGCAUCCUGGACCAUUACUGACACUGAACCGCGAAAGGCUAGGGAGCAAACG